AACUUUGGCAUUGUGGAAGGACU
rnacentral:piRNA from 1 species